ACGAACGCUGGCGGCGUGGAUAAGACAUGCAAGUCGAACGAGAGAAUUGCUAGCUUGCUAAUAAUUCUCUAGUGGCGCACGGGUGAGUAACACGUGAGUAACCUGCCCCCGAGAGCGGGAUAGCCCUGGGAAACUGGGAUUAAUACCGCAUAGUAUCGAAAGAUUAAAGCAGCAAUGCGCUUGGGGAUGGGCUCGCGGCCUAUUAGUUAGUUGGUGAGGUAACGGCUCACCAAGGCGAUGACGGGUAGCCGGUCUGAGAGGAUGUCCGGCCACACUGGAACUGAGACACGGUCCAGACACCUACGGGUGGCAGCAGUCGAGAAUCAUUCACAAUGGGGGAAACCCUGAUGGUGCGACGCCGCGUGGGGGAAUGAAGGUCUUCGGAUUGUAAACCCCUGUCAUGUGGGAGCAAAUUAAAAAGAUAGUACCACAAGAGGAAGAGACGGCUAACUCUGUACCAGCAGCCGCGGUAAUACAGAGGUCUCAAGCGUUGUUCGGAAUCACUGGGCGUAAAGCGUGCGUAGGCUGUUUCGUAAGUCGUGUGUGAAAGGCGCGGGCUCAACCCGCGGACGGCACAUGAUACUGCGAGACUAGAGUAAUGGAGGGGGAACCGGAAUUCUCGGUGUAGCAGUGAAAUGCGUAGAUAUCGAGAGGAACACUCGUGGCGAAGGCGGGUUCCUGGACAUUAACUGACGCUGAGGCACGAAGGCCAGGGGAGCGAAAGGGAUUAGAUACCCCUGUAGUCCUGGCAGUAAACGGUGCACGCUUGGUGUGCGGGGAAUCGACCCCCUGCGUGCCGGAGCUAACGCGUUAAGCGUGCCGCCUGGGGAGUACGGUCGCAAGAUUAAAACUCAAAGAAAUUGACGGGGACCCGCACAAGCGGUGGAGUAUGUGGCUUAAUUCGAUGCAACGCGAAGAACCUUACCUGGGCUUGACAUGUAAUGAACAACAUGUGAAAGCAUGCGACUCUUCGGAGGCGUUACACAGGUGCUGCAUGGCCGUCGUCAGCUCGUGUCGUGAGAUGUUUGGUUAAGUCCAGCAACGAGCGCAACCCCUGUUGCCAGUUACCAGCACGUGAAGGUGGGGACUCUGGCGAGACUGCCCAGAUCAACUGGGAGGAAGGUGGGGACGACGUCAGGUCAGUAUGGCCCUUAUGCCCAGGGCUGCACACGUACUACAAUGCCCAGUACAGAGGGGGCCGAAGCCGCGAGGCGGAGGAAAUCCUGAAAACUGGGCCCAGUUCGGACUGUAGGCUGCAACCCGCCUACACGAAGCCGGAAUCGCUAGUAAUGGCGCAUCAGCUACGGCGCCGUGAAUACGUUCCCGGGUCUUGUACACACCGCCCGUCACAUCAUGGAAGCCGGUCGCACCCGAAGUAUCUGAAGCCAACCGCAAGGAGGCAGGGUCCUAAGGUGAGACUGGUAACUGGGAUG
rnacentral:rRNA from 1 species